rnacentral:lncRNA from 10 species
CAAAAUGCUAACAGUGACAUGGACAAUGAAGUCCAGGCUGACAUGGUCUCAGAGGGACACGAAGAACUUGUUGAAAACUGGAGUAAAGGUGACUCUUGCUAUGCUUUAGCAAAGAGACUGUUGGCAUUUUGUCCUGCCCUAGAAAUCUGUGGAACUUUGAACUUGAGAGAGAUAAUUUAGAAUGUCUGGCAGAAGAAAUUUAUAAGCAGCAAAGCAUUUAAGAGGAAGCAGAGCAUAAAAGUUUGGAAGAUUUGCAGCUUGAUGAUGUGAUAGAAAAGAAAAACCCAUUUUCUGGGGAGAAAUUCAAGCCAGCUGCAUAAAUUUGCAUAAGUAAUGAGGAUCCCAAUGUUAAUUGCCAAGACAACGGGGAAAAUGCUUCUAGGCAUGUCAGAGACCUUCAUGACAGCCCCUCCCACCACAGACUCGGAGACCUAGGAGGGAAAAAUUGUUUCUUGGGCUGUGUCCAGAGUCCCCCUGAUCUGUGCAGCCUCAGGACAUGGUGCCCUGUGUCCCAACUGCUCCAGCCAUGGCUAAAAUGGGCCAAGGUACAGCUCAGGCCAUUGCCUCAGAGGGUGCAAGCCCCAAGCCUUGGCAUCUUCCAUGUGGUGUUAGGCCUGUUGGUACACAGAAGACAAGAAUUGAGGUUAGGGAACCUCCACCUAGAUUUCAGAGGAUGUAUGGGAAUGCCUGAAUGUCCAGGCAAAAGUCUGUUGCAGGGGCAGAGCCCUCAGGGUAAACCUCUGCUAGGGCAGUGUGGAAGGGAAAUGUGGGGUUGGAGCCCUCAGAGUCCCCACUGGGGCACUGCUUACUGGAGUUGUGAGAAAGGGCCACCAUUCUCCAGACCCCAGAAUUAUAGACCGACUGACAGCUUGCACUGUGAGUUUGGAAAAGCCAUGGACACUCAACACCAAACAUAAAAGCAGCCAGGAUGGGGACUGCACCUUGCAAAGCCACAGGUGUGGAGCUUCCCAAGGCUGUGGGAGCCCACUACUUGCAUCAGUGUGACCUGGAUGCGAGACAUGGAGACAAAGGAGAUUUUGGAACCGUAAGUUUUAAUGACUGCCUUAUUGGAUUUUGGACUUGUAUGGGACCUGUAGCCCAUCAGUUUGGGCCAAUUUCUCCCAUUUGGAAUGAGUGUAUUUACCCAAUGCCUGUAUCCCCAUUGUAUCUAGGAAGUAACUAACUUGCUUUCAAUUUUACAGGUGCAUAGGUGGAACGGACUUGCCUUUGUCACAGAUGAGACUUUGGACUGGGACUUUUGGGUUAAUGCUAGAAUGAGCUAAGACUUUGGGGAACUGUUGGAAAGACAUGAUUGUGUUUUGAAAUGUGAGGACAUGAAAUUUGGGAGGGGCCAGGGGCAGAAUGAUACUGUUUGGCUGUGUCCCCACCAAAAUUUUGUCUUGAAUUCUAGUUGCCAUAAUCUCCACAUGUUGUGGGAGGGACCUGAUGGGAGGUAAUUGAAUCACGGGGGUGGGGAGUUAUCCCCAUGCUAUUUUGAGUGAGUUCUCACAAGAUCUGAUGGCUUUAUAAGGGGCUUUCCCCCCUUUUCCCAGCACUACUCUCUCCUGCCUCCAUGUGAAGAAGGAAGUGUUUGCUUCUCCUUCCACCACGAUUGUACAUUUCCUGAGUCCUCCCCAGCCAUGUGGAACUGUGAGUCAAUUGAACCUCUUUAUAAAUUAAUCAGUCUCAGUUAUUUCUUCAUAGCAUCACAAGCAUAGUGUCUGAAAGGACAACCAGUUUGCAGCACAAGAGAUAUGUCCUGAGAGUUUCUGAAGUUAUUUAACUGGUUCAAUGAGAAUUUAAUCAAGGUCUGCUUUAUAUCAAAAUUUAUGAUUUUUAUUCAAUGCCAUACAUAGAAUUUGUUCACAGUUAUCAUCAAACACACUCAUACGGUUCCCCAGGGCAUGUUCACUGACAUCAAGGUGCAGAACUUACUUUAAGUAGCACUACGUAUGAGGGCUGUACAUCUCACAAACAAAACAGAAAGACAAUAACUUUAGUAAAAAGAUGGAUACCAUUCAAGCCCAAGGAAAACCAAUGCUUCUUUUCAUCUAUGGACUCAAGUCUCAGAAAGCAGAGAAGUGAGUGUACCAAGUGCAACAAACGUUUGAGCAUUGUUCUGCUGCCAAUAUUGAAGACAGCCACUGCUUUGAAGUGUGGGGAGGAGAGCUAGAGCAUAUUUGCCUGCCACAGUUAGUUUUGUGUUUCCAUGGAAUUUGAGCAAAACUGAUGCACUUGUCUCCCAGGAUUAAUCCAUACAAGUCACCUCUAAAAUUAUCUUUUCCCAUUCGUUGACUGAGCAAAAUGGACUUCAAGGACCUAAAGGAGGUUAAAUACCACAAGAUGGAGGAGCUUGAGUCUCUGAAUCAUUGUGUGUGAAGUCAUCUGCCAAUUACAUAAAUUGAAUUCUUGGGAAUUCUUGGUAUGAUAGGACAUGAAAGCUGAGAGAAAACCCUUCUACCUAGGAACUCCGGAGUUUCAACUACCAGAGACUGAAGGCAGGAGAGAAAAACUAAGACAAAUGACUUCAAAGCCUUUCUGAAAUGCCACAGAGGGUCAGGAUUACAAUCUGCCUAUUCUGAUUCUUCUACUAUGGGAAAAAAUCUUUUUCAGAAUUGAUGUAAAGCCUCUGUUAAUACUUUUCCUGUUAACAACCUAACUAUUCAACUGCUGAAUAAAAACCAUUAGGACAACUAAAGAAACUGAGAGAUUUUGGCAAGAAAUAGUCAUUCCAAUAUCAAUGACUACGGAGGAAAUGCAAUUACUUUUCUUUGCUUAAGUUUUCCAGGGCCUUUCUCUGUUGCCCAGGCUGGAGUGCAGUGAGGCAAUCUUGGCUCACCACAAUCUCUCCCUCCUGGAUUCAAGCAAUUCUCCUGCCUCAGCCUCCCGAGUAGCUGGGAUUACAGGCAUGCACCACUACACCCGGAUAAUUUUUGUAUUUUUAGUAGAGAUGGGGUUUUACCAUGUUGGCCAGGCUGGUCUUGAACUCCUGACCUCGUGAUCAGCCUGCCUCGGCCUCCUAAAGUGCUGGGAUUACAUGCAUGAGCCACUGUGCCCUGCCAACUUGUUAAAUUUUUAAUCAUUCUGCUCACCUUUUGCAACCUUACUGACUUUUGUGUCUACCUUAUCUAGCAGUGGCUGAAAUUUCCUUCUAUGAUUAUAGAUUUGUCUGUUAUUUCUUAUAGAUUUCUCAAUAUUGCUUGUAUUAUUAUUUUAAGUUAAUACCAUUAGGCAUAAAAAUUCAAAAUUGUUAUCGCU